AGAGUUUGAUCCUGGCUCAGGAUGAACGCUGGCGGCGUGUUUAAGGCAUGCAAGUCGAGCGACGUGCUCUGUAGAACCCAGUACAAGUUUAAAACUUGUGUUGAGCUCUAUAGAGUUACGAGCGGCAAACGGGUGAGUAACACAUUAGUAAUCUACCUUCAAGUUGGGGAUAGCCAGGCGAAAGCUUGAUUAAUACCCAAUGGUAAUGCGGGGGCAUAUGUCAUUCGCAUUUAAAGAUUUAUCGCUUGAAGAGGAGCUUAUGUUCUAUCAGCUAGUUGGUAGGGUAAUGGCCUACCAAGGCAAUGACGGAUAGCAGGCGUGAGAGCGUGACCUGCCUCACUGGGACUGAGACACUGCCCAGACACCUACGGGUGGCUGCAGUCAAGAAUCUUCCUCAAUGGGCGAAAGCCUGAAGGAGCGACGCCGCGUGCAGGAUGAAGGUUUUCGGAUCGUAAACUGCUUUUCUCAGGGACGAAUUUGUGACUGUACCUGAGGAAUAAGAGGUUGCUAACUCUGUGCCAGCAGCAGCGGUAAUACAGAGACCUCAAGCGUUAUCCGGAUUUACUGGGUGUAAAGGGUCCGCAGGCGGAACAGCGGGUCAGGGGUAAAAUCUUCGAGCUCAACUCGAAACCCGCUCCUGAAACUACUGUUCUAGAGUUCGGAAGAGGCAAUCGGAAUUGCUGGUGUAGUCGUAAUAAGCGUUGAUAUCAGCAAGAACACCAAAUGCGAAGGCAGAUUGCUAGUACGUAACUGACGCUCAGGGACGAAAGCGUGGGGAGCAAACAGGAUUAGAUACCCUGGUAGUCCACGCCCUCAACGAUGCACACUAGGUAUUGGCAGUAUCGACCCUGUCAGUGCCGUUGAAAAAAGCUAACGCGUUAAGUGUGCCACCUGGGGAGUACGGCCGCAAGGCUAAAACUCAAAGGAAUAGACGGGGACCCGCACAAGCGGUGGAUUAUGUGGUUUAAUUCGACGAUAAGCGAGGAACCUUACCUGGGCUCAACUACUAGCUGCAUUGGGGCAGAAACGUCCCAAGCCUUCGAGGGUGCUAGAUAGGUGCUGCAUGGUUGCCGUCAGCUCGUGCCGUGAGGUGUACCGUUAAGUCGGGAAACGAGCGCAACCCACGUCGUAUGUUAAAUUGUACAUACGAGACUGCCUGCGCAAGCAGGAGGAAGGGGUGGAUGACGUCAAAUCAGCAUGGCUCUUACGUCCAGGGCUACACACAUAAUACAAUGGCCGGUACAGAGGGUUGCUAAGUCGCGAGAUGGAGCUAAUCCCAUCAAAACCGGCCCCAGUUCAGAUUGUAGGCUGCAACUCGCCUACAUGAAGUUGGAAUCGCUAGUAAACGCAUAUCAGCCACGGUGCGUUGAAUACGUUCUCGGGUCUUGUACUCACCGCCCGUCACACCAUGGAAAUUGGCAAUGCCCAAAGCCUCGUAAGGGGUUAAGGCAGGGUCAGUAACUGGGGUGAAGUCGUAACAAGGCAUCCCUAGCGGAAGCUGGGGAUG
rnacentral:rRNA from 1 species